CCAACAUUAUGAUCUGCAGCCUUCAGCUGGGUAAAGUGCUCAUUGAUUUUGAGACUACUGCACUGCAGAGUGUACCCUGCACAAGGGCACUGGGCUUCUCAGGAAUGGAGUUAAUACUGACAGAACCACAUUGCUGUGGACAUUGGCUUUUUCUAACCUGCACUUCAGCAUGGGAUGGAGAAGGGACAGGUCAUUUUGGCCAAACUCUAGUGUUAAGAGAUUAAUUUCCCAACACAGGCAAGAGAAAUUUCUUGGUGUUCUUUGUUGGUGAUGUUCUUCAUGUUGUUUCACCCAAAUACAGAUAUUUUAAAAGUCUCUAACAAA